UACGUAGGGUGCGAGCGUUAAUCGGAAUUACUGGGCGUAAAGGGCGCGUAGGCGGCUGUUUAAGUCAGAGGUGAAAGCCCAGGGCUCAACCUUGGAACUGCCUUUGAUACUGGGCAUCUUGAGUAUGGGAGAGGUGAGUGGAACUCCGAGUGUAGAGGUGAAAUUCGUAGAUAUUCGGAAGAACACCAGUGGCGAAGGCGGCUCACUGGCCCAUUACUGACGCUGAGGCGCGAAAGCGUGGGGAGCAAACAGG
rnacentral:rRNA from 1 species